ACUUCUCAAGUCCCUCCAGGUUUGUUGUGAACUUGGGGUUUGAGACUUGGAUUUGGAGGCUUUUGCAGGUCCUUUGUUGGGUCAGCUCCUCUGAAAUGCAUUAGCGGAACCGUUUGUGAUUCGUCACAGGUGUAAUAAUUAUCUACGCCAGUGGGUCGCUCUCUGUCCUGUUCUGCUUCCAACCGUCCCAUGCGGGACAACCAAUUACUGAAC
rnacentral:misc_RNA from 1 species